AGUGAUAUAUUAAAUAGCCGCAGUAUCUUGACUGUGCAAAGGUAGCAUAAUAAAUUGUCUUUUAAUUGGAGGCUGGAAUGAAUGAUAGGAUGUGAUGGAUUCUGUCUUUAUGGUAAUUGAUUGAAAUUUACCUUUUGAUGAAAAGGUUAAGAUUUUGUUGGUAGACGAGAAGACCCUAUCAAGCUUUAUUUAAGUUGCAGUUUGACUUUUUUUAUUUGUAGGUGUAUUGUGAUUUGAAUUUUGUUGGGGCAAUGUUUGAAUAUAUUGUAAUUUUUUAUUUUUUAUUUUGUUUUGAUCCGCUAUUAGUGAUUAAAGGAGUAAGUUACUGUAGGGAUAACAGCGUGAUUAUUUUGGAGAGUUCAUAUCGGUAAAAUGGAUUGCGACCUCGAUGUUGGUUUAAUGAUUCUUUAGGGUGCAGUAGCUUUAUUAGAG
rnacentral:rRNA from 2 species